ensembl:lncRNA
UGGGCACUGGGAGAGGCAGGGAGCCUGCAUUUAGACUUCCUCUCAGCUUGCAGGAUGUACCACAUGUUAAGAGGGUCUUAGGCUACCUGUAUACAAGUAAUUUUCAAUGCUUUUCAUCUAAGUCUAAAAGCUGACCCAUCCUUUAAAAGUAUGUGCUCAGUAAGUCACCAGAAAGUGGCAUGGAGCAGAGGAUUGUUUAAUUAGGGGUGCUGAGUCACUUUGGGGACCUGGAGGCUCUGUCUUUGACUAGGCAAAGUGUUUGCUCCAAGCCUUUCCUCUGCCCAAAUCUGUGAAGAUCUAGUUGCACCUUGGAACUUUCAGCACCAAGGCGCCAAGUGAACUGCCAUGAACAACAAGAUAUGCACAACACCCACCAGGCAUGCAUGUGCUCUCUCUGAGCACUGGUGCAGAUUUCCCUUGUCCUUAAGCAUGACCUUCAUUCUCAAGGCUCCCUUAUCUUCAGCCAUGCCCGUGUCCUCAAGUAUUCCUCUUCAUCUCAAAUGCCUGCUGUGCUGCUCACUAUCACAGCUGCAUUCCAGAAUCAAAAACAAAAACCAAUCAAAAAGGAGCCAUCGGAAGACCCACCCAGGGCAAAUGCAGACUGUCUUCAUGCGGAGAUAUCACCUGCAGGUGCAUGGGUUGCCCUUGGAUACUGCUGUAACAAGAUUUCUUUUCUCCAAAGACAGAAAGGCUGGAUUGUGGCCAGAGCUUCCAGGCCAACGAGCUCUGAGGUCUCAGCCCAGCUGGGUGUCUUGCUGCCGUUUCUGAAGUGGCUCAUGUUCCACAAGACAGAGUGAGCCAGGAGAUGCCACCAUUCAGGGAACCUUCUGAGGGCCAACAAUAUGAUAACAACUCCCCAGGGGCAGGCACACGGAGGCAAGACUGGGCACCUCUCUCCCUGCUUUUCCAAGAGGAAUAAAUAACUCUUUAUCCAAACCCAAGGCUGAUGUUUAUCUUUUAGCUUGUGGAAACAUGGAAAGAACAACAACAGCUUCCUGCUCUGUUGAGAAAUUUGAAGCUUAAAACAAUGAGCUGGCAUUUGUGAGG